rnacentral:rRNA from 1 species
GUAGGGAAUUUUCGUCAAUGGGCGCAAGCCUGAACGAGCAAUGCCGCGUGAACGAGGAAGGUCUUCGGAUCGUAAAGUUCUGUUGAAGGGGAAAAAGAGCGGAGAGAGGAAAUGGUCUCCGAUUGAUAUUACCCUUCGAGGAAGUCACGGCUAACUACGUGCC